ensembl:lncRNA
AGCAGGCAGAAAAAAAUGCUACGUAAGCUCUUUUCUGAGCUUAGUAUUGUUAGAAAAUAUUUAACUCUUACGUUGUUUGGUAGCUUUUUUAUUGUGUGUAGUUAAGUGCAAAAAGAAUUAUGCUAGAGUCAAAAAUGAUUCUGAACUUUAAUAGUGAACUAUUUUUUUUAAUGUUAUUUUUUUUUAGAUUUUAGUUUUUUCCUUUUUCUCCCCAAAGCCCCCUGGUACAUAGUUGUAUAUUCUUCGUUGUGGGUCCUUCUAGUUGUGGCAUGUGGGACGCUGCCUCAGCGUGGUUUGAUAAGCAGUGCCAUGUCCGUGCCCAGGAUUCGAACCAACGAAACACUGGGCCGCCUGCAGCGGAGCACGCGAACUUAACCACUCAGCCACGGGGCCAGCCCCUAAUAGUGAACUAUUUUUAUCAAAAGUUUGUUAGUUCCUCACGUAAAUGUGCAGCAUUGAACUUAAUACAAUUACCACGAGCCAUGAAAUAUAGAAUUAAUAUUCAAUACAGAUCUGAAUUAUAUUGAUCAGCAACUAUUGAUAUAAGGUGCUAAAAUGGAAAAAAAAAAUAUGUUAUCAUUACUAUUACUUGACUCUUGAAUGUCUUAUGGUUGAAAUAGUGGAUUUAUACAAACUAAAGUGGGCAGCGUUCAGUUGUGCCAAAUAGAAGCUGUGACUAUUACUCAUAUCACCUAAACCCCACUGUACUCAAAACUAGGAAGCAUUUUUUAUUCAUUGAGCAUGAUUGGAAUAGAACUGUCAACAACAACAACCCAUUUUUUUUUAUUGUAUCACUGAGAGAAAAGUUAAUAUUGACUAUUACAGGCAAAUGAUCACUGAUCAUAAUGACAUUCUGCUAAAUGACAGAUAGCAAGCUUCACCUGUAACACUGAAUGAUCCCUCUACCAGAUAGAAUUGGAGACAACACUGGAAACGCAGUUUCUGGACGAUGGUUUUACCCACUUGGCCUUGUGUGUAUCCAUUAAGCAGUUGCCUCGGUUUGCCAAUUCUUUCCUUGCUGACCUGAGAACUGAGAUGGGUAAAUCUGUCUGAAGUGCUGUAGUCUGCUCUCUAGUGCUUUCACUUUGGGAUGCGGGGAGGGAUUAUAAGGUUUCUAUUACUCCAUUUCCACAACUCCUAAAAGCACAGCCUAAAAGUGACCAAAAAUGCUAAGUCAAUGUCAUUGUACAAUAAAUGGUUAGUAAAGAACUCUAGAACUAAAGACUCUCAAGGUCGGAAGAGACCUUAAAGAUCAUGAAUGAUGAUCCUAUACUCUUCUGAUAACAGAAGCGAUGAUGAAAACCCCUAAUGAGAGGAAUUUCUUGGCCUCUCAAUAUCAGACUGUUCUAGUUGAUACAAAGUCCUUAAAUUGAACUAUAAUGUGUCUUUCUGUAAAUUCCACUUAUUGGUCCUAGAUGUAACCUUUCCGACUAAUGAAAUGUUUACUUCCUCUUUGAUACUAAUAAGUUCCUUUCCAAUACUUCCUCAUUCUCUCUGGUUUCCUUCCUUCAGUGCUCUAGUCACUUUCCUCUGACCACACUCCAAUUUUUUAACAUUCUGCAAACUCAGAGUACAACGUGACCUGUACUGGAUAAAACACAAUUUAGCAAUAGCCUUAUUCCAAGCACUGACUUUCUCUUAACACUGAAUUUGCUUUUGUGGCAACUAUAUCAAAGGACACUUGAAAUUCCUAAGUGCUUCUCAAAUAUCUAAACCAAGUCACAUUCACCCCAUCCUCUACCUGUAUAGUUGAGUUUUUAUCCUAUUGUUUUGGACCCUCCUAGACUUCACAUUUAUUUCCAUUAAUGUUAGCUUAUCAAAUGUUUUCCAUUCCACCAAUUUCAAUUUUUUUUCAUUUGGAAUGGAAAGUGUAUUCUAAUUCUGUCAUGUCACUCAUUCACUAAGUGAAAUUUUAACUUGUGUCAUCAGUAAAUCUGACUAGCAUACUUUCUAUUUAUUCUAAUACCUGAUUUUAAAAAACAUAUUGGCAAUAACAGGACAGGGGCAUCACCAUUAGAAAUUGUCCUUCCAGACAGCCAUUGGUCAUUCAUUGCUAUUCUCUGGAUAUGACCAUUCAACAAGUUGCCAACACCCUUGAUUUCUAGCUCAUAGUUCUUCAUCUCAGCCACUAGGAUGCUGUGUGAUGCCUUGGCAAAUAUCCUAUAGAAGUCCAGAUAUGUUAAUUACCCGUUGGUUAGCCCAGUAACCCUUUCAGAGAAUGAAGUGAUAUUCAACUACAUGAUCUCUUCCUUGGUGAAUCAUUUGGAGCCUGGUUGUGUGCCUUACAAUGGUUGACUUGAGGCUCACUGAUAUAUAGGUUUUGAGAAACCACCUCUAUCCCAUUUUGAAAGUCAAAUCCACAUCUUCCAAUCCUUUGUCUGUCUACGUCUCUCCUGCUUUCUGCAGUUCCUCCCAGAUGUUCAGCAUUAGUUCUGCAGGCUUCAUUUGCAGUAGGGACCUCAGCUUACCCAUUGUCCCUAGAACCUAGCACAGUGUCAAGAGCAUAAGAGGUAUCUUGCUAUUUUUUAAGAAUCAAAACACUAAAAAUUUGGUGUUUUGGUGCUUAUGUUCAUGUUUUAAAACUCUAUAAUAGGAAUCAUAUAUGUCUGGAGACAAAAUUCACUUAUACACCACAUUAGAAUUUUGAAUUGGACAAAGGGACAGUCCCACAUGUCACCACGUGCCACACCUAUUUAACACCCUUCCGAGUUACCUUCCUGUGGUUGUAAAUGACAUUCCCCAGGUUUCCAGAAAGAUUAUUCACAUUUCACCUAGAGACAGUUUGGGCACUGGUUUUCCUGCUGAGGCUCAGACGGCGCCAUAUUUGAGGCGUUUGGUUUAGGCAGGAAGGAGAGAAAAGUGUAGGGGCAUUGAAGAACAUAAGAGGAAUGUCAAGUAGUGGUGUGGAGGAGUAGAAAGGGAGAAGGUUUCCAGUUCAGUCCCGAGGCCUCAUCCCUCUGUGCCUCUAGCACUGGAGUCCCUCUGCUCCCUCUUCUUUCCUCCAGGACCAAAUUCUCUUAGGACCUAGCCUCUCUUCCACUAACUUAGUGUAACCUGCACCUUUCUUUCACCAGCCACCUUAGAAAAAUUUAAGACAGAAGGACAGGAGAAUUUCAGGUGGAAUAGCUUUUAAAGACAACAAGUAGAAGAUGCUGAUGGCCAAAUCUCAUGUUUCAAUAAAUCCUGAUAAUUAAUUGAGAUUACUCAAAAGAACUAGAAACACACCAACGUUGUCUCUUUGCUCCAGGGUUGCAAUCAUUUCUAAGAGGUGAAAAAAAUGGAUACUCAGGGACACAGCUCGCACCAACCAGAAUCCUUGAAGGCAUUUAAAAUGGAUGUGAUCUUGCACCAAUGACUUAACCUCUCUAUACCUCAACUUUCCCAUCUGUACAAUGGAGAGGAUAAUAGUCCCUCACAGGAUUGAUGAAGAUGACAUGAGAUAAACUAUGCAAUCAUUGAAGAGAGUUGCAACCAUGGAGUGAGGAAACUGAGCCCCAAGAGAAGUAACCUGACUUGCCCAAGGAAAUUCUCCCACAAGGUGUUGAUAACAGUCUGGAGUUCUUGUGACCUAACUCUCAAGCCAAUGGUCUGGACUCACAACCAGGCUAUCUAUCUUUACUGUUGUUCACUAUAUUUGGUAGGGCCAAAAAAGUCUGAUUCAAAAAAAAAAAAAAGUAAUGAACUGGUUAAUCAAAUGUUCUGAAUAAUAGAGUUAGCCAAGUUUACCAUUUUAAUUGAUAAAGUCACCAUAAAAUGGAAUACAUUAAAAUAAACUGAAAGUUUAAAUUAUAC